rnacentral:rRNA from 1 species
UACGUAGGGGGCAAGCGUUGUCCGGAUUUACUGGGCGUAAAGAGCGUGUAGGCGGCCACGCAGGUCCGUUGUGAAAACUGGAGGCUCAACCUCCAGCUGUCGACGGAAACCGUGUGGCUAGAGUCCGGAAGAGGAGAGUGGAAUUCCUGGUGUAGCGGUGAAAUGCGUAGAUAUCUGGAGGAACACCGGUGGCGAAGGCGGCAUCCUGGACCGGCAUUGACGCUGAGGAGCGAAAGCCAGGGGAGCAAACGGG